AUUUUGACUCAGAGCGCUGCAUUGGAGCUGUUGGUUGAAAUCAGUGAAUCGUAGCACCUUUCAAAGCAAUUGAAACCAGAUCCACAAUGAGAAGUUACCUGAUUCUGUUUGUCCUGUGCGUCGCCGUGGCUGUUGUGUACGCCGAAGAAGAAGUAGAAGAAAAUACAUCGGAAGCUCCAGUGCAUACGCAAGAGCCGUCAGACGAGAAAACUACUAUUGCAAGCGAGUCCACAACCAAUGUUGCUGUUACCACCAAACUAUCUGUGCUGUCUAUUCUUUUAACAGCUAUGCCUAUUGUACUAUUGUAACCUGCGUAUUACAGUGCGAGCAACGGUCCACUUUGCUCGAUGGGACAAUGUGCGUGACGGAUGUGUCACCUGGCCUCAUGGACAUUUAAUUUUCACACUAAAAGCUGUCUUAAAAAUACCUGUACAUAAUCUAUUUUGUGUUUGUGACUACAAUGUAAUUAAUGAGUUACAGCCGUAAUGACCAAUAUCACAGUGAUCCAAAUCAUGACGAUUCAGAACGCAAUUACCACCUGUCAUUUGGCUUGGUUUGAUGAUGUCAUCACCACAUGACAACCAACACAGAAUCUGAUUGGAGCACUACUGAUUUGAUUUCCAUUGUCCGAACAACAGGAAACUAUGUACAGUAUAAGAGAUACAUUUUAAUUGUGUACUUCAAUGAAAAUAAAACAUGAUAUUGUACAAAAAAA